AUUGAACGCUGGCGGCAUGCCUACACAUGCAAGUCGAACGGCAGCACGGGAGCAAUCCUGGUGGCGAGUGGCGGACGGGUGAGUAAAGUAUCGGAACGUGCCCAGUCGUGGGGGAUAACGUAGCGAAAGUUACGCUAAUACCGCAUACGAUCUAUGGAUGAAAGAGGGGGAUCGCAAGACCUCGCGCGAUUGGAGCGGCCGAUAUCAGAUUAGGUAGUUGGUGGGGUAAAGGCUCACCAAGCCGACGAUCUGUAGCUGGUCUGAGAGGACGACCAGCCACACUGGGACUGAGACACGGCCCAGACUCCUACGGGAGGCAGCAGUGGGGAAUUUUGGACAAUGGGCGCAAGCCUGAUCCAGCCAUGCCGCGUGCAGGAUGAAGGCCUUCGGGUUGUAAACUGCUUUUGUACGGAACGAAAAGGUUUGACUUAAUACGUUGGACUCAUGACGGUACCGUAAGAAUAAGCACCGGCUAACUACGUGCCAGCCGCCGCCGUAA
rnacentral:rRNA from 1 species